AGUGAACGCUGGCGGUAGGCCUAACACAUGCAAGUCGAACGGCAGCACAGUAAGAGCUUGCUCUUACGGGUGGCGAGUGGCGGACGGGUGCGGAAUACAUCGGAAUCUACUUUUUCGUGGGGGAUAACGUAGGGAAACUUACGCUAAUACCGCAUACGACCUACGGGUGAAAGCAGGGGAUCUUCGGACCUUGCGCGAUUGAAUGAGCCGAUGUCGGAUUAGCUAGUUGGCGGGGUAAAGGCCCACCAAGGCGACGAUCCGUAGCUGGUCUGAGAGGAUGAUCAGCCACACUGGAACUGAGACACGGUCCAGACUCCUACGGGAGGCAGCAGUGGGGAAUAUUGGACAAUGGGCGCAAGCCUGAUCCAGCCAUACCGCGUGGGUGAAGAAGGCCCUCGGGUUGUAAAGCCCUUUUGUUGGGAAAGAAAAGCAGCAGGUUAAUACCCCGCUGUUCUGACGGUACCCAAAGAAUAAGCACCGGCUAACUUCGUG
rnacentral:rRNA from 1 species